UUUCAAUUUACUAUAUUCUCUACAAUCCCAUAUAUGUAUAUCUACUUCUUCCUUUCAUAUUUUAUUUGUCAAUGUUUGGUGGACAUACACGGUAUCUACGGUACAAAUCUACCGCCGAAUUUCUUGAGAAAUCGAUGCCUUAGAUACUUUCCAGAAUUGACUCCCCCAUUUUUGGUUCAAUUAAAAAUGUAAUGGCAUCUCUCUCAAUAAUUGGGAUCUAGAUAUAAUAUUCCUAUCUAUUUCUUCCCCAAUAUCCAUAAGAAAGGCACAUCCACUCCAUCUUCCACAUCAACCCUAACCUCCGCCUCGAUAACAGCAAAUCCCUCUCUCGCUACGAUGUGCCUAUAAACCCUUUCCGGAAAGCAGCUCCAAUACAUCUCCUUACCCAGGAAAUCCCCUAGAAUGGCACCACUAUCUGCCGUCACACCAAAAUUUACCAACAGAUAACCCCCUUCUUUCAACCACCCAAAGAUUCUCCGCAUCAACAUUUCCUGCUCAUCUGCCGGCAGGUGAAGGACGGAAUAGAGCCCCACCACU
rnacentral:sRNA from 2 species